rnacentral:misc_RNA from 1 species
UAACAAGGUUUCCGUAGGUGAACCUGCGGAGGGAUCAUUACACAAAUAUGAAGGCGGGCUGGAACCUCUCGGGGUUACAGCCUUGCUGAAUUAUUCACCCUUGUCUUUUGCGUACUUCUUGUUUCCUUGGUGGGUUCGCCCACCACUAGGACAAACAUAAACCUUUUGUAAUUGCAAUCAGCGUCAGUAACAAAUUAAUAAUUACAACUUUCAACAACGGAUCUCUUGGUUCUGGCAUCGAUGAAGAACGCAGCGA